UACGGAGGGAGCUAGCGUUGUUCGGAAAUACUGGGCGUAAAGCGCACGUAGGCGGCGCAGCAAGUCAGGGGUGAAAUCCCGGGGCUCAACCCCGGAACUGCCCUUGAAACUGCAGUGCUAGAAUCUUGGAGAGGCGAGUGGAAUUCCGAGUGUAGAGGUGAAAUUCGUAGAUAUUCGGAAGAACACCAGUGGCGAAGGCGACUCACUGGCCCGAUACUGACGCUGAGGCACGAAAGCGUGGGGAGCAAACAGG
rnacentral:rRNA from 1 species